UUGAACGAGACGAAGACGGAACCGAAGCCGGGCACAGGCUGUGGACGCGGUCCUGCCAAGAGCUGAAGAUAGCAGUGAACGUAUAUUCAACAUCAGUCACCAGUGAUAACCUAAGUCGACAUGACAUGCUGUUCCCUGGCUCCAUUGCCUUGAAGAAAGUGAAAUUCCAGGCUAAGCUAAAACAUGAGUACAUCCAGAACUUCAAAAUACUACAAGCAGGCUUUAAGAGAAUGGGUGUUGACAAAAUAAUUCCUGUGGACAAAUUAGUAAAAGGAAAGAUUCAGGACAAUUUUAAAUUUGUUCAGUGGUUUAAGAAGUUUUUUGAUGCAAACUAUGAUGGAAAAGACUGUGACCCCGUAGCUGCCAGACAAGGUCAAGAAACUGCAGUGGCUCCCUCCCUUGUUGCUCCAGCUCUGAACAAACUGAAGAAACCUCUCAGCUCUAGCAGUGCAGCUCCACAGAGGCCCAUUGCAACACACAGAACUACUGCAACCCCUAAGGCUGGCCCGGGUGUGGUGCGAAAGAAUCCUGGUGUGGGCAACAGGGAUGACGAAGCAGCUGAAUUGAUGCAGCAGGUCAACGCAUUGAAACUUACCGUCGAAGACUUGGAGAAAGAAAGAGAUUUCUACUUUGGAAAGCUAAGGAACAUUAAAUUGAUUUGCCAGGAGAAUGAGGGGGAAAACGACCCGGUAUUGCAGAGGAUCGUGGACAUUCUGUAUGCCACAGAUGAAGGCUUUGUGAUACCUGAUGAAGGGGGCCCACAGGAGGAACAAGAAGAGUAUUAACGGCCUGGACCAGCAGAGCAACAUCCGAAUUCUUCACUCCAAAUCAUGUGCUUAACUGUAAAAUAACCCCUUUUAUUAUUCUUAGAGGACUCACUGGUUUCUUUUCAUGAGCAAACAAUACCUCUUCUUAAAGUGCACUUUGCAGAAAUUUCACCCCUUUUCCAAUGAGUUUGAGUUAGGAGCUUUUACCCUGUAGCAGAGCAGUAUUAACAUCUAGUUGGGUCACCUAGGGAACAAAGAGGCUGACCAUGGGGCUCACCGUGUGGACGCUGGUAACACUGAUUGCUGGAGAAGGUGUUUUUAUG